rnacentral:tRNA from 1 species
CAAAACGUAGCUUAAUUUAAAGUAUCUUGCUUACACCAAGAGAAUAUCUGUUCAACCCAGGUCGUUUUGA